CGGGGCAGAUGAUGUAAACUAUCUUAUCCUACACACUGAAAUAUGAUGUGGACAUAAACUCCGCUUAUUAUCUGAUGCCCUU